UAGCUCAGUUGGUAGAGCACCUGACUUUUAAUCAGGUUGUCGCAGGUUCGAUCCCUGCCGGGCUCACCA
rnacentral:tRNA from 1 species